UACCAGCACCCCGAGUGGUCGGGACGUUUUUAUUGGGCCUAAAGCAUCCGUAGCCGGUUCUACAAGUCUUCCGUUAAAUCCAGCUGCUUAACAGAUGGGCUGCGGAAGAUACUAUGGAGCUAGGAGGCGGGAGAGGCAAGCGGUACUCGAUGGGUAGGGGUAAAAAUCCGUUGAUCCAUUGAAGACCACCAGUGGCGAAGGCGGCUUGCCAGAACGCGCUCGACGGUGAGGGAUGAAAGCUGGGGGGAGCAAACCGG
rnacentral:rRNA from 1 species